rnacentral:rRNA from 1 species
GCAACCUGCCCCGAAGACCGGGACAACACCGGGAAACCGGUGCUAAUACCGGAUGUCCCCACCGGACCGCAUGAUCUGGUGAGGAAAUGGAUUCCGCUUUGGGAGGGGCUCGCGGCCUAUCAGCUUGUUGGUGAGGUAAUGGCUCACCAAGGCUUCGACGGGUAGCUGGUCUGAGAGGACGAUCAGCCACACUGGGACUGAGACACGGCCCAGACUCCUACGGGAGGCAGCAGUGGGGAAUCUUGCGCAAUGGGCGAAAGCCUGACGCAGCAACGCCGCGUGAGGGACGAAGGCUUUCUGAGUUGUAAACCUCUUUCAGCAGGGACGAUAGUGACGGUACCUGCAGAAGAAGCACC